AGGAUAUAUGUGGACCUCCCAGAUGCUGAGAAUCGGAUGAAAAUUCUAAGAAUAUUUCUGGCCCAAGAAAACCUAAAUUUUGUAUUCCGAUUUGACGAACUUGCCAAUGCAACUGAAGGAUAUUUAGGGAGUGAUUUGAAGAACCUUUGUAUCGCAGCGGCAUAUAGGCCAGUGCAAGAACUUCUAGAAAAAGAAAAGUGGCUAUGUACAAAUAAUGCACCAUGAGUAUUGAGGCCUCUGAAUUUGGACGAUUUUAUUCAAGCAAAAGCUAAGGUAUGGAAAUAAUCUCCUUUUGUAGUUCCAAAUUCCUAUAGUAAUUGAUUGAAAUACUUGAAAGAGAAGUGCCCAGUGUAUAUUCUCUCAGGUCAGACUAAGCGUUUGCUAGGGUGAUGCCGUUGAAACCAAUAUCGAUAUCUAUACAAUUAUUCUAUAAU